CCUCAUCACUUUUCCAGCCCAGCUAUCUAUCAAAUGUUUGUUGGACGGAGAACUGAUAAGGGU
rnacentral:pre_miRNA from 1 species